CUGCAUGACACCCAUCUGCGCUCCACCCGCCUUCUCAUCGAAGCCGCCCGCCAUCUGCGCCGCAAAGUUUCCACCAAGUCCGGGGGGCCAGGAGGUCCGGGGGGACCGGGGGGGCCUGGGUUUCCAGGGGUGCCGGGUUCUCCAUCCCUUCCACGGGGGCCAGGAGCACCCUUCUCCCCCUUCUCGCCACGGUCCCCUCGCUGUCCCUGCUCUCCUGCUGGGCCCUGUGGUCCUGGAGGCCCUCGGGGUCCUACAACAUCUUUAAUAUCUCCGGGUUCUCCCUUCUGUCCCUUGGGGCCAGGUUGUCGGGCGGCGGCGGGCAGCUCUGCGGGGCAGACGGGGCAGCACUCUCCGAAGGGGAUUUCGGGGCUGGGGCAGUCCUGCGGCUCCUCGCAGAUGAUCUCGUCGCACAGAACGGUCCCGGUGUCGCACACGCAGAUCCGGCACGGCUCCGGCUUCCACACGUCCUUAUCGCUGUAGCUCUGCCCGUCCUGCACGCAGCCCCCGGCGGCCUCCGGGAGGUCGCGGUCCUGCGCGGCUGCGGCGGCCGUGAGAAGGAGGAGGAGGAGGAGGAGAGCGGCGGAGCGGGGCGGGCGGCGGCCGUGCAUGGCGGGCGGCGGAGCCCCUCUCACCGUCCGUCGGGCCGAGCAGUGCCGCACCGCCCCGACGCCGCGUAUAUGUCCCGGCGCGGCCCCCCGGGCUCUGUAACCCGAGCCGGGACGGCCCCCCCGACCCUCCUCCGGGACGGCACCGGCG
rnacentral:lncRNA from 1 species